rnacentral:rRNA from 1 species
ACGGGUGAGUAACACGUGGAUUAUCUGCCUCUUGGUUCGGAAUAACCCCGGGAAACUGGGGCUAAUACCGAAUGGUUCCUACGGGAUAAAGAUUUAUCGCCAAGAGAUGAGUCCGCGUCCGAUUAGCUAGUUGGUGGGGUAACGGCCUACCAAGGCGACGAUCGGUAGCUGGUCUGAGAGGACGAUCAGCCACACUGGGACUGAGACACGGCCCAGACUCCUACGGGAGGCAGCAGUGGGGAAUAUUGGACAAUGGGGGCAACCCUGAUCCAGCCAUGCCGCGUGAGUGGUGAAGGCCUUCGGGUUGUAAAGCUCUUUUGGCGGGGACGAUGAUGACGGUACCCGCAGAAUAAGCCCCGGCUAACUUCGUGCCAGCAGCCGCGGUAAGACGAAGGGGGCUAGCGUUGUUCGGAAUUACUGGGCGUAAGGCGCGUGUAGGCGGUUGUUCAAGUCGGGUGUGAAAGCCUUGAGCUCAACUCAAGAAAUGCACUCGAUACUGGAUGACUUGAGGACCGGAGAGGAUAGUGGAAUUCCCAGUGUAGUGGUGAAAUACGUAGA